rnacentral:rRNA from 1 species
AUCAUGGCUCAGGAUGAACGCUAGCUACAGGCUUAACACAUGCAAGUCGAGGGGCAGCAUUAUCGAAGCUUGCUUUGAUAGAUGGCGACCGGCGCACGGGUGAGUAACGCGUAUCCAACCUUCCCAUCACUCAGGGGUUGCCCGCCGAAAGGCGAAUUAAUACCUGAUGGUCUCCUUUGCAGACAUCUAACGAGGAGUAAAGAUUCAUUGGUGAUGGAUGGGGAUGCGUCUGAUUAGGUAGUAGGCGGGGUAACGGCCCACCUAGCCGACGAUCAGUAGGGGUUCUGAGAGGAAGGUCCCCCACAUUGGAACUGAGACACGGUCCAAACUCCUACGGGAGGCAGCAGUGAGGAAUAUUGGUCAAUGGACGGAAGUCUGAACCAGCCAAGUAGCGUGCAAGGAUGACGGCCCUAUGGGUUGUAAACUGCUUUUGUGCGGGAAUAAAGUAUGGGACGUGUCCCAUUUUGCAUGUACCGCACGAAUAAGGACCGGCUAAUUCCGUGCCAGCAGCUGC